rnacentral:sRNA from 1 species
AAGAACAAUCAAAGAUGAUGUCAUCAAGGAUGUCAUCCGAGAGUCACAGGUAAGAGCUAAGGCGUCGUCGCAUGAUACAACAACCCUGUCCAUCCAAGAGAAGAUGAAAGUAAAUUCUGACUCAGUAUCAGGAUGCACUUCAGAGACUUCGCAAGAGUCAAGCACAGAAACUGUGGCCUCACCACCUGAGGACAGGUCAGCUCAACUUACGGAAGAUCCACAGUCUUCUCAAGUCCCUAACUCAUGUCAUGGCGAAUAUGCAGGAAUACCUGCUUUGAAAAAAGUGAGACAAAGCUGUACUGUUAGCUAAAGCCAAUCUGUGCAUGACCGAAUCUGGAACAACAG